rnacentral:lncRNA from 1 species
AGGUUCGACAGACCCCACAUAUUAUCUCAAUUAUCGAGCUUCUCUAAUCAUUAAUUUCAUUCCACAUAGUAUUUAUCAUCAUCAAUAUGUGUUCCGCCAGGGGAAAAUAAAUAAAGAAGUCGAGCUAAAAUCAAGCUGACAAAAGUUCUCAAAUCUAUUUAACUACAAAAAUUUUCAGCAAAAGAAACUUGAACAAGACACUGAAUUCCACAAAUAUAAGCAAUUUUUUCAUCCGAACACGUAUCUACUUCUAAAUAACGACAUCACUUCGGCCAAUACCGGAUAUAUUUGAACAGAAUAAAAAAGGAAGCAUGAAUAAUUAUGUACAAGUUUUUGUACUACUCUACCAUUCUGAAAAGUAUACAAAAAUUCAACAAAAUAACAACUUUGCACACCCAAAGAAAUUUUAAAGAAGCCACAAGAUUAUUCAGAACAAGAAAGAAAACAAAUUUUCAUCUAAACAUAGAUCUAUCCUUAUAUAACCACAUCGAAGACUCUGCAAACAACUAAACCUGACAUAGACAAGGAGCAUCAAUAACAUCGUUUACAUCGAUUACGAUCCUGGAAAGAUAACACCAGCGAGAGAGGCGGUUUCAGACCCAGGGAGCUUGUCGGAAUUAGGGUUUUAGGGACCGGGCUUGGGGGCCUCGUCAGGGGCAUCAUGGGAGAUGGGCUUGGUGAGCAUGAGAGGGCGACCCUUGGCCUCCUCCGGCUGGGCGUCGUCCUCGUUGUCGGUGGUGCUGAGAUUGAUGCACGAGCAGCGCUCCAGGGAGGCGAAGAAGGCCGAGGAGACGCUCGCCCCGAGCCAAUUCGCCAAGCGGUCGAGCUUCUCGCACGAGAGGAAGCCGGAAUUCUCCAUCUCCGGAGAUCGGGGCGGCGGAAUUCGGACCAGAAGGAGGGGAAAUUUUGGGAUUCUUGCCGCAGAGAGAAGAAUUCUAGGAGAGAGACACCAGGGUGGGCUCAGGGGCGGGGGUUCUUAAGGAGGAGUGGGGUCCGGGGGAGG